rnacentral:lncRNA from 1 species
UUUUUUCAUGUGGUAUCUUAUCCCAUCACUCAACUAAUAUGGGACAAAAUACAAACAUUUGAGAAAGUUUGCCAAGAAAUCUCACAAGCAAAUUUGAACCAUUGUCACUUCCUUUUUCAUCACCAAGUUCCACCAUAAUUUUUUAAUUUUUUUCAAAGUUCCAAACUCGAUCUGAUUGCAUCUUUUGAGUAGUAACUUCUCCGAUUGAAGUAUCUAUCAUUUUAACAAGCCAUUAACACAAAUGAAAAGUAAUGAUAACAACAAACUAAUAAUAAAGAAUAAAAAGCAACAAUCAACUCUAAUAUGAAAUUACUUCUAAUCUCUAAUGUGGACAAGUAACGACUCAUUUUUCACUUGGGAGCUAUCUCCAACAAAACUUGAAGAAGAAAUUAAAUUGCCAUUACCGAGAGUAGGAGUUGUGAUAUUCUCAUUCACAACUUGGUCAUCUAGUUGAUCAAAAUUUAAGGAAGUUGUGCUAUUGUUGUCAGCUUGUCGUCCUCGUAGGCUUUCUAACAAUGAUUGUGCUCUUACAACUAGAAAACCCAAUAAAACUUAAAACAAGUAGUAACGUAUUUGAUCCCAGAUAGGCACUGCUCUUUAAUUUUUCAAAUGUUGGACUUAAAUUCAUGUUCCUUAUACAGAAACAAACAAUAACUAGAACAUGGUUUGAAAUGCAUAGAACAAAAAAAAGGAGAUCUAAUCCAGCAAAAUUUCACACCUCUCAAGAUUUAUAUAUUAGUAUAUAGGUUAUCGAUUUAUGGUAAUAAUUCCUCCAAUGUAUAAUCUUAUCUACAAAAUUUGUGGUGAAAAUAUAUCCAUCAAUCUUUCCAGAGGUGUGAGCAUGAUUUUUCCAACAUAAAUAAAGUAGGAUGUAUAACCUACCACUAAAAUUUCUAUUCUUUACAACAAGAAAACCCAAUAAAAACACAUCAAAUUGCAGAUUUCAAAAGCUCAUAACUUCAAUAAACAAAAACUUUAUCCAAAACCCUACAUUCAAUUUUGAGUUUAAAUACACUAGAUUCCAAAGAUUUGUUACUUGAACGAAGCAAACUUACCACAUUACACAACUAUUUGAAGCGGCUUUUGACAGAAAUCGACUUUGAAGAAGAGAGUGGAAUUUUGGGCAGAAAUCGAUUUAGAUUUUGGGGGUUGGUUUUGGGUGAAGUGAGAGAAAAGAGAGUGAGUAGAGGGAAAUAAUAGAAAAAGAGGCAAAUGAAAAAAUAAAGGGAGGGAAUGAAAUUUUACCCGCCUAUUUUAG